UACGUAGGGUGCAAGCGUUAAUCGGAAUUACUGGGCGUAAAGCGUGCGCAGGCGGUUAUGCAAGAACAGAUGUGAAAUCCCCGGGCUUAACCUGGGAACCGCAUUUGUGACUGCAUAGCUGGAGUACGGCAGAGGGGGAUGGAAUUCCGCGUGUAGCAGUGAAAUGCGUAGAUAUGCGGAGGAACACCGAUGGCGAAGGCAGUCCCCUGGGCCUGUACUGACGCUCGAUGCACGAAAGCGUGGGGAGCAAACAGG
rnacentral:rRNA from 1 species